AAACGAAUCAAUGAGAGGUGUUUUGCUGGGAAACCUUCUAAACAAGAUCGCAAGUGAGAAGAUUUUUAGAAUGAAGCAAUUAAGUUUGCUGAUUUGCACCACCCAAAUGUGGUACUUUUUAUGGUGUCGUGCUUGAUGGGCCUGGGAGAUCUGUGGCCACAGUAACAGAAUAUAUGGCCAAUGGUUCGCUCAAAAAUGCUUUGUUGAAGAAUGAAAAGAGUCUUGAAAAGUGGAAGCGCCUCUUGAUUGCUAUGGAUGCGGCUUUUG